GUGUCACUUAGUUAAGCAUGAAAGAAAUGAUAAAACAAAUGAAAAAUGGGUUGUCUUCUUCCACCCACCUGAUUGCCGAACCUUAUGCCAUUGAAAAGCAAAUAUCUUGUUUUCCUUUCUUCCAAUAAAUCCAAGUCAAUCUCUCACCAAAUUAACUUCUUUCUUUAAUCAAAAUUCACCCUAAGAUCAAGAGCUAAAGAAAGAGCCAUCUAUUGAAAGAAUUGAAGAAGGAAAAGUUUAGGAUUCCAUAUGCACCAAACUUGAAAAUCAAAGGUGAGCUUAGAAAUGUGUAGGAAAUACCAUCUUCUCAUUUCUUUAUGCAUGAAUUUGAAUUAUAAAACUUUAAUUUUCAAUUUAUUCAAUAAUUCCUUAAGAUAUAAAUUUACCUAGGUGAAAGAACAUCAAAGGAAAAAAGGAUAGCUAGAAAGUAGAAGUGGAAAAAAAAGAGAAAUUCAAGAAAGGUUUGAUGUUUGUAUAAUUUUAUGUUUUCCUUUGAUUUCCUCAUGAAUAUGUAAAAAUAGGGAUUGAUUUUCCUUGCUGAAUAUAUUGCUUUGAUUGUAUAAAUAUGUAAUAUGAAUGUUAGAAUAGUGUUCGAAAGGCUUAAGAUAAAGAAAUUUAACAUAGGAGUUAAAAGUGCAAAUCUGGCAUAUUCAUAACUUAUUGUGUUGUUAUUGAAAUUAGGCCUAAAAUAUACCAAAUAAAAGCUGAGACAAAUAGCUAAAACUUUCAUGAAUUGACUAAAUUUUGAAUCUCUAGGUAAAAUGAUGUAAAUUGCAAGUGAACCUAAACUAGACACAAUGAUAGAGCAUCCGGAACAUUGUAUUGAUUAUAUCAUAACUAAUUCUGUACUUAAUAAAAUUAGUUAAGGCCAAUGCCAAAUGAAUCUUAAGAAGUAUAUUUAAAACUUUGUAAAAGACACUUAAACUUAAAUUUAUAUGAAAAUGCAUGCACCUGAUAUGUAUUGUAAUACUAAAAACAAGAAACAAUACUGGACUGAUUAAGACCUUAUUGAGCAGCUUGUAAAGAAAAAUUCAUAACUUAAGCUAGCGUGAUCAAAUUUGCAUGAAUUACAUAUUGUUGGAAAGAUAAGACAUAAGUGUAGAUUUGUUAUGAAGAAAUUUAAGUCAAAUUCUAACUUUAAAGUGCUUGAAAAAUUGAUGCAAAAUUGAACAGAAUGCAACUUUCUAGAAUUGGAAUGCAUAAAAAUUAACAUGCUUGUGUAAUCGGUAAGAAUUAUACACGUGCUUACUAGUCAUACUUAUUUUUUGCACAUGCUUACUUGAUAAUAAAACUUAUUUGUGCAUGAUGAUUUAAAUAAAACUUUUCAUUCCUUACUUCUUAGUGGUAUAAAAUGCAAAAAGUGAAUUGAUUAGAAGCAAUAUUAGAAUGCUAGGUCGACAGUUUCUCAUCUUGUUAAACUUGGCAUAUAAUAUAUAUACUUUGAAAAUGAUUUCAAAUACGAGUCAAGAUUAACUUAAGGAUAUGGCAUGUCAUAUAAAUAUAUAGACUUUGCAGUACUGCUACUGAUACAUAUCUAUAUUUGAGGUUACACAUCAGGUACCUCAUAAGCAUGGCCAUAGAACUCUGCUAUCAUAGUUUUGGCUUUUGACCCUAUCGUUUGGCACCAUGUGCCCACCGUUAUAACUCCAUAUCUACCUAGUCGACCCUACUAUGUGUUUAUAAGGGCUGAAAACCUAAUUAAGAUUAAUGCUCGAUUUUGUGAAAUUAUAAGUGAAUGUUAACAUGUUUGCAUAUAUUGCAUGCAAUAAGCUAUGGUGAUUUGCUAUAAAUAUAAAAUAUGCAAUAGUGGCAAAAGAAAAUGUUUUUAUUGAAUCUAAAGGAAAUUCUUGGAGUGUACAAUGAUGCAUAUGACAUUCCUAUCUUAUACCAAGAAGUUUGACAAGUAUGUUUUGUAUCAUGUUCACUACACUUUACAUGCUUGUAAUUAUUUACUUAAUUAUCUAUAUACAUGAAUAUCUUGAUUUAUUUUAUUUUUUAAUUUCAAUCACCCACUAAGCAUUAGCUCACGUGUUGAUUUUUACCUCACGCAGGUUGUAGAUAAAGUAAAUACUGCAGAGGUCGUCAGAGAUCUAUAUGCAGAGGUCGUCAGAGAUCUAUAUCAGACAUCAAGACCAUUAUUGUAGCUGGUUGUUUUGAGUCUCCGAAUCAUAGUUCAGUUAUAUUUUGGCAUGUACAUAUUACCAACCUCACUACCACUAAAACGAACGUCGUGCAGUUUUUUUGUUGGUAUUGACUUUGGCUUUGAUCAUUAAGGUGAUGUUGCUCAUGUUAAUAGUAUUAUUGUGGAUCAAAAUUGAAUAAGGAACCACCCAUAUCAUUAGGAUCACCAUAAGUUGGCUGUUGAGGGACGUGAAGCCGACUAUGCUCCUGAUAAAGGGUAAUAAGAAUAUGUAGGAAGAUAAUUUAUCGGAUAUGAUAUCCCUUCAAAUUGGCCAUAGAACCUAUAAUUUGAUAAAGUAUCUUCAGUUGAUGAGCUACCACCAUACAUAAAAUUUGGUCUAUACAUACCAAAGCCGUAUCCAUAAUUUGAUGAAUCAAUUGACCCCUCCUCAUAUGCAACACCCUUACCCCUUGUUUGGGAUGUUUCAGCACCACCAGUACUAGAACUAUGAGUCUCAUGAUCUUUGAUAUGUACAUAUUGGAGAUAGUUCAGAAGCAAUUCUAAUUCCACUUUGUCUUUGACUAGAUGGAUCUUGUGAACUACGACUACCACCUCCUUCAACUCUGAUUCCUCCUCCACCUUGAUCACUACCACUACCACCAUCAUCAUCACUACUAGAGCUGGAUAAAAUAAAAGAAUCAUCAUCACCAGCACCACCUUGUUGUCCUUGAGUUUGAGCGGCAGAUUCAGACUAUGAUGGAGCAUUUUCAUCAAUACCCGCCUUUUCAUCAUCCAACUAUAGAUUUGGUUGACUAUCAAGCAAUGGAGAUUCCCUUUCCUCCAACCAAGAGUUUAACGAAUCAUCUUCUUCAAAAAUAUAAUCCAAAUUAAUUGGAUCACAGCUCUUAUCUAACUCUUGUUGGCUUUUUCUUGUCACAUUUCUAACUUUCAACCUCAUGUUGUGCACAAAGACAAGUGCAUGUAUUUUUUGUUACGUCAAUCUAUUUCGUGUGAAUAAGGAAAAAUGUGCUCCAAUUUCUCUCGCAGUUUAAAGCCGAAGUUGUUUGGCUCAACACUUUGAUAGCAAUUUUUCGUAACUCAGGAACACUUUUUCCAUAAUUAAUCCACCUCUCAGCUGCAAAAUAUUUUUAUUAUUUUAAUAAACUUAGUUGUAUAAAAAUGAAUAUACAAAAAUAAUUUAUAUUUAUUUUAUAAACUUAGUACCUGGAUUAGUAAACUUAAUUACCUUUUCCGCCAAAUCUCUCUAUUUUGUUCCGAAAAAGUAGAGCCUACAUGUUCCAAAUUCCAGUAAGUUAACUUCAAGUUCAAGAGCAACAGUUCAACUACACUAACACAGUAAAACUUGAGAAUUAGCUUGUUACUUACAUGAUUUAAUGGUUUUCCUUUGUUUACUAAAUCCCCCCUCUAAACGUUGAAUCACAUUUUUGAGACCCAACAUGAUCUCAUUAUCAUUUCCAAUAUCAUGUGGACCAUAUUGAUAUUGAGGAUUUCAAAAAUACAUUAGCAAAAUAAAAUAUAAAAAUAGAUAAUAAGUUAUCUCUUAAUUUAAUAAUUUAAUUUUAUAAACUAUCAAAUUAUAAUACACAAAGUUCUUACUAGAGGCAUGCAAGUCAUAAUGCAAUUGAAAAUUCCAUCUAUGAUCGAUUAUUCUCAAAUAGCAUCUGGAAUUUUUUAAAAUAACCAACUUUGCUCGCUCUAUUGCCUCAUAUAUAAAUCCCAUUGUUGGCUUGUCAUCUCCAUCAACUAAUCUUAAAACCUUUAGGAGAGGUUCUUAAACUUUCAUUAUUUGUUGUGCUCUCUCCCAAAUGUUUCUUCCUUCGCUGCCUAAGCCAAACACAAUUUUAUUGACUUCAUACGUUGGACCACUUGUUGCUUAUCCAUAUUUGCUCAUUAUCCAUUGCUAUGAUUCGAACAUAUUCCUUAGUUCCAUCCUAUAAUGGACAAUAGACUCUAAAACAAUGAAGUUUGUGGCAAAUCUAGUGAUGUCAGGUCGAAUAAUAUCUCUAUUGUUUGUGAAUUUCUUCAUAUAACUGACCACCUAAUUGUGAUUAUAAAUAAAUUGGAUAAUUAACUUGGCUUGGUCAAUUAUUUUUUUCACUCUUUUUCUUUCCAAUAUCUUCUAAAAUCAAAUCAAUAUAAUUAGCACUACAAGCAGUCCAAUAUAGAUUAGGGAAUUUCUCCAUCAAUUUCUUCCUCCAAAUUUAAUAACAAUUUCAUUGUCUGUUACCACUUAAACAACUUUUUCAGGGCCUAUUUCUUUCACUACUUUCAUAAUUUUGAAGUAGUAUUCUCCAUUGUUAUAUUUUAUAUUGGAUGCAUCAACAGGCCUGUGGAACAUUGUACCUCUAUUUGAGUAGAUAAGAAAAUUUACUAUACUCAUAGGUGUUGGCCUGCUCCAACUAUCACAUAUUAUAGCAACUCCCGUCUCCUCCCAUAUCUUAUCAAAUGAGACUAUAUAUUUUUUCAUUACACUCAUUUUUCAGAUAAAUUUCUGCAAUUUCAUAAGCACUAGGUGGAGAUACAUUAGGUCUGAUUUCUACUACUAUUCUUAAAAGUGCCUUUGUUCAUGGUGACUUAACAAUACUGAAGGAAAACCUAUUAUGUAUUACGAAAUUUCCAAAUGCUUUCAACAUUUUCUCCUCAUGUGUCUUUAACCAUUUAGUUUUUAAUUUUAACUGCUUUUGUUGCGCUUUGCUUUUCUCUAGUUCAACUUCUGCAGCACAACAGCCAACCAAGAUGCCUGCAUAUCUUUGUGCUUCUCUACCUCUCUUACGUGUCGUAGCAGAACGGCCCAACACUUGUCUGCUACUAUCACCAGCAUCAAAUCUAGAUCCAGUUCUCCUUCUGAAUUCAUCUUCUUCCAACUGUCUUAUGCUCGCCCAUCUCACCAUUUCCAUUUCAAUGUCCUCUUCCUCCUUAUCAUCUUCAAUUCUAUUUAUAUUCAUAAUUUCUUCUAAUUCUCUCUUUUUUCUUUAUCCUUUUAAGCCAAUUGGUAUUCUUUCAGGACACCAGCCAUAUCCUUCUUAACUUAGAAGAAACUUUAUGACAACCUGCAAUUUGAAUAGAUAUAUUAGCCAAGUGCAACUUCAAUCUUUAUUAUUCCGUCUGUGAUUUUUCUCCCACAAAAAUUGCAAAUCAUUUCUCCUUUUUUCCGUGUCGGUGUUGCAAACUUCCACCCAAUAUUAUCACUUGGUUUACCACCCCUUUAGUAGAACUAGAGCCACUUCCACGCAACAUUUUAUAUAUUUAAUAACUAUUCAUAAAAAUUAAAAGAUGUCAAAUGUUUAAAACAUGCAAGGUAAAUAUUUUUUUCAUAACUAAUAUUUUAAUUUUAACCUAACUCUAUAGUGCAUAUAUUAAUUUAAUUUCUAUUUAACACAAAUUAUAUAGAUAUGAAAUUUUUAAUUAUCAA
rnacentral:lncRNA from 1 species